UUGUUAAUAUUGAUUGGCCAAUUUGUUGCGAGUUACGUCGAGCAAGAUAAGAGAAAUAAUCUCAUCAGGUGAUGACAACAAAAGUUAACUAAGUGUAAAAGUCCAGAAAAGCAAGAGUCAAACGUAACAGGAAGAAAAAAUCAGGAACUGGAUCAAUCCCUGCAUAUUUCUAGCAACACAGCAGAGGAUCUGUUUGCUUUUCCUCUUGUUCCAGCCAGCAGCACAUCUAAUUUCCUCAUUUAAAUAGGGCGGUCUGCACCUCUUUUGCUCCUGUUUUACACUGCAACUUAUUGCACGUGCAAUUUAUUUCUAGCACACGCAAAUUAUCACCUGCUAAAUGGGAUCUUUGAAGAUCAGACCAGUGAUUUGAUCAGAUUAAUGUUUUAGUUAAUAAUGGUGAUAUUUGAGUGUUUUGCUGCAUUUGAUCAGAUUCAGUUGUUUUCUUAUUUUAGGCCAAAGGAUGAAAUUCUUGUAUUUUUGCCAUAUUAUGACAUAUGCAACAAAUCACCAAGGACCUUUUCUGGUAAAAUCACACAGCUGCUGAAUGUUGUUUAAUAAAGAAAAGUCAUCAUGUGGUAAAAAAUUAACCAGUUAAGUUUACACAACACAUUUUAAGCCACAAACACAGGAAGAAAUUCAGUUUAUUUCACAGACUCUUUAAAUGUGACGUCACAUAUUUCAGGGUUCUGGGAGAUUCUGUUUUCCUUGUCUGCUGUUAACUCACUUCAGUCACCAGAUGGUGCCAGGAGCUCAGGAGGAGCUGAGCCACAGAUGUUCUCCAUUACCAUCAUCAAGCUGAGGAGCAUAAAGACCGCAGAGAGCCAACAUUCCAGUGCCUGAGUGUUGACCUAUAGUGGUUACCUCCAAGUCCUGAUUCCAGUAUCCAGUCUGCUUCUAAUCAGAGACUCUGACUCACUCUUCUCAAGAAGAUUUCUUCAGACGUCAUUUCCAGUUGGCAGUGUCUGGUUCCAAGGCUCCUCAGGCUCACCUGUAACAAACUCUGCUCACCCUCUGCCCUGCUUCUCUUCCAAGAACAUUCACCUGUUGCCAAACUCACCAAAGUAAAGAAAACCACCUACCUGGACUCACCAGUCCCCAGCAUCGAGAUUCUGCUCCUCUGAACUCCUGUGGACAAAAUCACAACAAAGAAAAGAAACCACUUACCUCCGGGUCAGAUCCCAUCUCCAACCGCACUCCUGGACCCCAGCUGUCUCCCCCUGGCGGAUCAUUCAGACCCUAUCCGUAAGCAAAAUCACUUUACUCUCAAGUCAUCCACAAUUCUGGAGAAUUACCUACGACUCACCAUUUCCCCUUCUUCCAUACAGAGACGUGUUCCUAGUUCCAGCCUUCACCAUUAUCAUUUAUUUAAUAAACUUGUUAAACCUCUUCUAUCUCCUGGGUGUAAAUCUGCAUGUGGGUCAAAGCAGCUAGAGCCACCAGGACACAGGGACCAUUGCUGUCGGACUAGAGGACAGGGUGGGGGGGCGGUCCACACCGGGUCCCAGCAGACUUUCACGCUUGCAUGUUGAGAGGCUGUGACUCAUGUCUCUCUCUGUCUCUGGUCCAGAUUAACAAACAUUUGUGCCCCUUAAAACCGGACUACAGGGGCGAAACAGAGCAGCAUCAUUUAUCAACAUGCGCAAUAAGAUCAGAAGCACAAAGUAACACCUUCUGUCCAGUUAACAUGUUUCAUGAUUAUGCAGUAGCCUACUGGGCUCAGCGCAAAGUUGUCCAAUUCUGGGAGGACUUGAUGCAAAUAUGUUCAUUGAAUACCUGCAGUCGGCGUCACUAAAGCUGCAAACUCAUUGUCGGUCAUUGCUUUGCGCGUCUCAAAGGCAGUCGCAAUUUGCAACAGCACUGCACACAGGUAGCAGUUAUGAUUGCUUCUGCACUGCUGUGUGUCUUCAGGUUUGUCUCUAUCAGAGCUGCGAGAAGAGACAGAAACUCCAACAUAGAGGAGCAGAGAGUGAUCAGGAGGAUGAGAGGCGUAGUUGAUCUGUGACUGUGUGACUUUAGUAUCCUCGGUUGACAAUUGUGUUAAAUAUGCAUCCCAAGUGUACAUAUUCUCCAUCCCUAAUUUAUUGAUUUAUUUUUAACUUUGUCUCCUUUAUUUUGUAUAUUUAUUCAAAGGAGCAUCUUGGGCCAUGGAGUGUGGGGGAAGUCGUCCACUCCUAACAGUGGAUCCUCCGUGGGCUCAGUGACAACCACAGCUGGCCUGGCACUAUGCAUUUCCAGUGGAGGGAACAGAUCCCCUCUGCUGGCCCUCCUUGAAGCACGCAGGGGUUGUUGAGCUGCAUCAUUACGCUUGAUCCAGCUGCUGAUUUUUGUUCUGCUUCUGCUCAUCUAAACUGUUGCUCUUUGUUUGCCUCAGUCGUCUCUGUUCACAGCAGCAGGUUUGUCAUCUCAGCCUCCCUCCUGACGAGAUUAUUUCUCCUCUCUGUUCAGGUGAACCGAGGGCCUCUAAUAUCGAAGGCCGAGUGUGAAGUUGUUUUGCGAGCAGAUGCUUGAUGUUUCUGGUCCGGACCGACACAGAGACUACAUCCUGCGAUCCCAGUUUAAUUUCUCCUCAGUGAGACCGAGGUGAGCCCACUCAGCAGGUGGGCGUGAAAAAGGUUUCUUCAGAGCUUCACUUCACGGGAGGGAUAAACGUAGUGGAGAAAUGCGUAAAUACAGACUAUAUAGAUUAUCCUUUAAAGAGGGACCUGGAGAAAGGAGAGUUCUUGGCUAAAGCCCCCAAUGUUUCAAGGCCCUAAAGACCCCCUAAAUACGCAGCAACAUGACCGUGUGAUAAAACUGAGCGCCUGAAUUCAAGUCCAAGGCGACGCAACAACCACACAACCACCUCUAACUUUAUAUCGGGGUCGCUGACCUCUGACCUGCUGAUGACUAAAAACUCACAGGUACAAACAGCCCAACAUAGGAUGAAAACAUAUUCUAUGUUUUUAUUGGUUUUAUGUUUUUUAUUAGUUUGAUUGGUUGAAAAAAAUCUGAAUUUUGCUUAAAAACAAAAUGUCUCAAUUUUUCUUUAAAUUAUGCAAUAAAAAAACUUCCUGAUUAGGAAAUAAAAAUCCUC